UCUUCCUAGAAAGAUGUGUCUGUGGUUCCCUGCCCUUGGACAAGUGAGAAUUGGAGGAGAAGUUAUAUGGACUUAGAGAAGUCUGGAGCCAGCUUGUUCCCCACAGGCUCAAGAUCACCCUUCCCACACUG
ensembl:snoRNA